rnacentral:rRNA from 1 species
GACAGAGGUCCCGAGCGUUAGGCGGAAUCACUGGGCUUAAAGCGUGUGUAGGCGGAUUUGUAAGUACCUUGUGAAAUCCCACGGCUUAACCGUGGAACUGCUUGGUAUACUGCUUAUCUUGAGCCACUUAGGGGCAACCGGAACAAACGGUGGAGCGGUGAAAUGCGUAGAUAUCGUCAAGAACACCUAUAGCGAAGGCAGCUUACUAGGCUGUAACUGACGCUGAGGCACGAAAGUGUGGGGGAUCAAACAGG